AGGAGGAAAAUGUAUGGACCUGAAGACCGCAUCGUCCCAGCCCAACAAAACCAUAGUCCUUCAGGUUCGUGCUCUGGUGGCCACUGGCCAGGGCCCAUAUUAGACACUACAGUCUACAAUAUUAUAUCAGCAAAGCAAAAUCGAUUUGCUUUGAAAAACAGAAAUCAGUUGUAAUUUAGAUUUUAGAAAACUGGGUCGUUUAUUGUUCUAGGGUUUUAGAGCUUUGGGAUUGGCUCCAGCACAGCCAAAUUAAUUAAUCUUUUCCUUCAAAUUUCGAUCUCUCUCUCCUGUUUCGGACAAAACCCUAGAAAUUUCCUCAAGUUGUUCAGUGAUUUUACGAGAAUGUCUCGGGUUUAUGUCGGGAAUUUGGAUUCUCGGGUCACUGAGAGGGAUCUUGAAGACGAAUUUAGGAUUUUCGGCGUUCUCCACAGUGUAUGGGUCGCUCGAAGGCCACCAGGAUAUGCAUUUGUUGAGUUUGAUGAUCGCAGGGAUGCUAUGGAUGCAAUCCGCGAAUUGGAUGGCAAGAAUGGUUGGCGUGUGGAACUUUCUCAUAAUUCAAAAGUUGGUGGAGGCCGUGGUGGGCGCCGUGGUGGGGGUGAGGAUUUGAAGUGUUAUGAGUGUGGUGAACCUGGUCACUUUGCUCGAGAAUGCCACUUGCGCAUUGGCUCAAGAGGCCUAGGAAGUGGGCGACGUCGAAGCCCCAGUCCUCGUCGCCGUAGGAGUCCAAGUUAUGGGUAUGGGCGCAGGAGCUAUAGUCCACAUGGGAGAAGAUCUCCUCGGCACUGCAGCUUAUCACCUUGUCAUGGUCGCAGCUACAGCAGGUCACCUCCAUAUCAUCAUUCUCAUCGUGAUUCACCUUAUGCUAAUGGAGAUUAAAGCGGGGCCUGAACUGAAGUAAAUCUUGAUGACAUAUAUGACAAAUGAAUAUGCAAUACUGUAGUUCUAAUAUGUUCAUUGAGCAAAAGAGAUUUAUGUUACUUAUGUUCAUUCCGUGACAAUGAGGUUGUUAGAACCUGUGGUUUUGCAUGGCUUCUACUCUGCCAAGUGUUUCAGCCGCCAAAAGGGGUGCCUUGGACACCAUUUUGCGGUGGUUUGAUGUCUUCAGCAUAUGAAACUGGGAGGUUUGCUUUGAAGUGCAUCUAAGUGCACAUGGUUUCUUCCUCUCAUUGCUUCUCUGCACCACUUCAUCUACUCGUCAUCGCUCCUGCAUAUUAUAGAAGCUUGAGUUACAUGUUGAAUUCGCUAGUGCCUAGUAGUAACAAACAAAUUGUGGUUGCUACCUUGUUGUGGUGUAUGCAUCUGCAACAAAGCUUCGACCUUUUUAAGAAGAUGAAGCAUUAAUUGGUCUCCUGUUAUUAGCUUCUCUGCCCUUCGUCAUCUACUUGUAUCAUUGCUUCAUAUUCAGCCCAAAAAUUUGAGUUAUGCAAGACCCCUUCUUAGCACGUGUUCUGCAACAAAGAGUUGAUCUAGCUUUGAUCUUUGCUUCCAUGGUAGCUGACUUUGCGAGGUGUCAAUACUACUUUAUCUUGAUCUUGUCUAGUACUAUUUGUUGAUGAUGGGUAGGAUGUUCAUACAUUUGCUCGGAGACAUAUUUGAAAUUGAUGGUAUGGCAUCCUUUCUGUCUGCAUAGUGUCAACAUGUUUUUGAAGGUUGCAUUCAGCGUGGAAGCUGCUUCAACCUGCACCAACUUAUUUAGUGAGGAUCUAAAUAAUGAUUAUCUGUGAAUGUCCGAAGGUAAGUAGUUGGGGAGUAACCAUCCUGUCUUCUGCAAUGUCUUUCCACGUUUUCCAUCCUUCUAAAAAAAAAUUUUUUUUGGGUAUAUUUGCUAGUCUGUUUGGGCGCUGUAUUUCACAGAAAUCUUCAUGCGUUGAUAUGGCUAAUGCUAAAUGGCUUGACUUGCCAUUUCGGUCCAUUCCUAUCUUGUAAUUUUGAUUGCUCUGUUCCAUACAGUAUUAUGCUUGGCAGUGCUAGUUCAGAAUAACUUUUAAUGGUGGUUGCAUUUCACCUGGCGAAUCAUUUUAGGCAAAUUAUGGUAGAAUCAUUUCCAUAUAUAUGCUGUCCGAACUAUAUGAAGAACAAAUUUCAGACAGCUGUUUUUCUUGAUAAUGGACCUAUAGAGUUCAACACUGCUUAUAAUAUUUUUCUUGAUGGUUGAUUAACUUUAUCGAAGUAAUUAAUGAUAAAUUACCAAAAUAUCUUACUCUCCCCUCGCUACCCAUAACGCUAUGUAUAAUAAAGAAAACUGAAAGCGUGGAAACUUUGUUUAACCUAUGACUAAAUAAUUUGUGAAAUUCUGCACAAAAAAAAGCUUGGCUUUUGUCUCAACGUUUUUGAGUGGUUGAGGUAAAUUACCCAAAGCAUGAUCCCGGAGCGCUUACCAAGUAGUUCUUCCUUGAAAUUUCCUCCAGGAAUGUCAAUAUCAGUACAACGCUAAAAGAAUCGACAAAUGAUUUUACAAGCCUUUCUUUGUUUUAAUUUACAAUAAUUUCAUAUAUCGACAAGAAAGAAUACGCAUUUAUUUUCUGUGAUAGGUAGGAAAGGAGUGGUUUUCUUGCAUUGCCAUUGAUCUU